rfam:Ovis aries breed Texel chromosome 2, whole genome shotgun sequence.
ACAAAGGGCUUUUUAAAGUCCAUCAUAUUUAUAAAAGACAUACAAGU